UACGUAGGGUGCGAGCGUUGUCCGGAUUUAUUGGGCGUAAAGGGCUCGUAGGCGGCCUGUCGCGUCGGGAGUGAAAGCCCACUGCUUAACGGUGGGUCUGCUUCCGGUACGGUCGGGCUGGAGUAUGGCAGGGGAGACUGGAAUUCCUGGUGUAGCGGUGAAAUGCGCAGAUAUCAGGAGGAACACCGGUGGCGAAGGCGGUGGUCUGGGCCGGAACUGACGCUGAGGAGCGAAAGCGUGGGGAGCGAACAGG
rnacentral:rRNA from 1 species